rnacentral:rRNA from 1 species
UAAACUGAUCUCCUAGUAAAAAAGCUAGAAUUACAACAUAAGACCAGAAGACCCUGUGAAGCUUAAAUAAAACUAUUAAACCAUAUAAUAACUACUUUCGGUUGGGGCGACCUUGGAAAAAAAAAGAACUUCCAAAUAAAAUGAAUAUACCUCAUUAUCUAAAUCAGGCCAACAAGCCAAAAAUGACCCAGCACAGCUGAUAAUUGAACCAAGUUACUCCAGGGAUAACAGCGCAAUCUUCUUCAAGAGCCCAUAUCAAAAAGAAGGUUUACGACCUCGAUGUUGGAUCAGGACAUCCUAAUGGUGCAGCCGCUAUUAAGGGUUCGUUUGUUCAACGAUUAAUA